UACAGAGGUCUCAAGCGUUGUUCGGAUUCAUUGGGCGUAAAGGGCGCGUAGGCUGCGGGGCAAGUCGGGUGUGAAAUCUCAGAGCUCAACUCUGAAACUGCACUCGAUACUGCUUUGCUUGAGGACUGGAGAGGAGAUUGGAAUUCACGGUGUAGCAGUGAAAUGCGUAGAUAUCGUGAGGAAGACCAGUGGCGAAGGCGGAUCUCUGGACCAUUGCUGACGCUGAGACACGAAAGCGUGGGUAGCAAACAGG
rnacentral:rRNA from 1 species